GAUUAAACUAUAAUACUGAGGAUGUUUGGCACUAAUCAGCUAAAAUCCCCUUUAAGAUUAUAUAAUUUCCUUGGAUCCUGAGUUUCAUGCAGAUUGUCUUUAAUAUAGAAAUAUAUGGACUGUGUGCUGCCAACAACAAGCUUCAAGGACAUGGUUUUGGGAGUGGUUCUGCAUGUUAAUAUAAAAUAAAGAGCUGGGGUUACAGCUGCAGUGGACAGCCGCAUGUAACGGGAAGGUACAACCUUGGCAAUUCCUGAGGCAAAUUGUUCACUUUGCUCGGUAAUGUUCUGAAAUAUGAUAAAGAUGACUUUGUAGCUUAAAAGGCUUUUGAUGUGCCCUCUCAAUAUUGAAGAUUAUAGGUUCAUUUUCUGAUGGGCUCUUUUUUUAAAUCUGAGACAAUUUUUUCCUACAUCUCCAAAUGCUUAGUUUUUGAUGAAUUUUCAUUCCUUAAAAAAAAAAAAAAGCAUUUAAAGGGGCUUCGAUUAGAUUGGUUUUAUGUAACAAUAAAAAAAGACAUCAAUAUUCUUACAUUCUUUUGCUGAUGGACAGAAAACAUGUUUUUGUUGAGCAUUUGCGGUAAGGUCAUCUACGUUUAAUCAUUUUUCUGGAAUUUUCUAGUAAUUGCUUUCAGCAAUGUCAAAGCAUUCUUCUUAAAUCAAUAUUUUUAGAGUUUUGUAAUGAAAUUCGACUUUUUACAGGGUCUGUAUCAUCUCUGGGCUCCAGUGGAGGCAGUUCUCUGCUGCAGGUUCCAGGAGCUCUGCCCGCCAUCAGCCACGCUUCACUGGGCUCUGGGCGCAGCUCGAGACCAAUGAUCUGCCUCAGCACUUCCCAAAGCUUUGACCGGCACUCCAUGCACAGGCUCAGUCCUGCCGACAGCAUAGACGGACACAAGUGCAGUCCGGCUCACAGAGUCAGAACGUACAGACUGAACUCAGCACACAGUAUAGACGGAUACAAGUUCAGCCCGGCCCGUCAAAUGAACAGACACAGACUCAGUUCUGCUCACAGCAUGGAUGGAUACAGACUCAAUCCAGACCAGAACAGCGACAGGCCGAGGCUCUUGUCCAGCCACAGCAUAGACAGACACCCGUCUCUCAGGCUUAGUCCAACAGAAUUUGGCAGCAGGCGCCCAUCUCUCUGGCUCAGCCCUGAAGACAGUCUUGACAGGAACAAGCUCAGUCCCUCUUAUGUUCCAGAUAGUUCUGUCCUGAAAAGAACCGGGUCCUACCGCACUGCAAACAGACGUUUACAACGACAGGCGGCUGUGCGCUCUGACUCUCUGGAUCAGAGUGGAUCAGCUGACAACCUGGCAGAACCUUGCCUCACUGUGCCCACAGACUCUUCCAGUCCGCCACGCCAGCGAUCACCCAGCGUCCACACGCUGAAAUACACACACCCCCAGAGGGUAAUCUCAUGCAGGAGCCACAGCCGGAGCCACAGUGAAACCCCCGCGCACGGACUCGUACCUGAGCAAGCCAUCUGCGGCUCGCAGCCAGAAACGCAUGCAGAAACGAGGUCCGCUGGUCCACAGGGCUUGUCCACUUUGAAGGUCAUCAGCGCCGAGUCCAGCUUAUCAGCUUCGCUCUGUAGCACCAGAGCGGCCUGCACGGAGCCUGGCGCCGGAUCAAACCCGCCCCCCCUGUCUGACGAUGCUGAUGAGGAAGUUAGCUGCAUAAAUAUUUCAGUUCACUCACCCGGGCUGCCUCCUCCCAGCUCCUCACACAAAAGUGGACACCUCUCCCCGAGUCCCGGAGAGUACAGAGGCUGCCUCAGUCAUUCAGCAUCCCCGGUUUCAGGUCAGGGCAGGAAGCAGCGGAUGAGCCCACCACCAGGGGAGGAGCCAGUCACAAUGGCAACCCAGCAAACGGACACUAAUGUUGAGCUAAGACGGAGGACUCUAUCAUUCGAUGCCUCAAGCCUUUCUCCUAAUCAACUGGAGCAGAACUCUGUGGACGACUGA
rnacentral:lncRNA from 1 species